UAGAGUUUGAUCCUGGCUCAGGAUGACGCUAGCGACAGGCUUACACAUGCAAGUCGAGGGGCAGCAUAAAAGUAGCAAUACUUUGGUGGCGACCGGCGCACGGGGGAGUAACGCGUAUGCAACCUACCUAUCAGAGGGGAAUAACCCGGCGAAAGUCGGACUAAUACCGCAUAAAACAGGGGCACCGCAUGGUGAUAUUUGUUAAAGAAAUUCGCUGAUAGAUGGGCAUGCGUUCCAUUAGGUAGUUGGUGAGGUAACGGCUCACCAAGCCGACGAUGGAUAGGGGAACUGAGAGGUUGGUCCCCCACACUGGUACUGAGACACGGACCAGACUCCUACGGGAGGCAGCAGUGAGGAUAUUGGUCAUGGGCGGGAGCUGACCAGCCAGUCGCGUGAGAGAGAUCUAUGGUCGAACUCUUUGAGGGAUAAUGAGACUGUCUGUUGAUGACCUGAAUAGAUCGCUACUCUGCACGCCGUAUCGAGUCACGUAUCGAUAUGGUAAGUGGAGUGUGUAUCCGUGAGUGACUACGAAUGCUAACGCAUAUGAUAGAGGAUGUGUACGUAUGUAUCCA
rnacentral:rRNA from 1 species